AGAUGUAAGGGUGAUCUGGCUACAACAUCAAUCACAUCAUUGAUUGCCAGGGGUGCUGGAGCUGGCUGUGUAUGGGUGUGCCCACUUCCUCCUUCAGCAUACCUGUGCUUCCCUCCCAAGAAAUGCAUGUCUAGUGGAAGAGGAUGACUUUCCCCUAGUAGAGAUGGGGCAGUCUUUGGUCAAGGGUAUACCCAGUAGUUGCGCCUCCCUGCCAGAAUCUCCAAACAACUUCUCAAAGUCCAAUAGUACUAAUGUGACCACCAAGGUAAAAUGAGACAGAUUCUAGACAGGAAAGACAGAGAUGUCCUACUUC
ensembl:misc_RNA 7SK 7SK RNA